UGUCUGCUGUCUGAAAUUUAGGUGAAUGGUUUUGGUAUUAACCACUAUUUAAAUAAUAUCAUAUAUGAGAAAUGUGGCAGUAUAAUUGUAUAAUUUACAUUCAGAUGGUUGUUUGGAGGCUUUUUAUAUCUUUUAAGGUCAAUUCUGGCAUGGUUCAUUAUUCAUAUUUUUUGUGUCCACGUUACAUGCAACAUUUAAGUCACUAUUUUAUGACAGAAAUGAAAUAAUUGCAAAAAUAUUAAUACAAUUUUUUAAUGUGAGGGUAACACAAUGAAAAAGAGCCUUUACAUGUUCAGAAAGAAAAUGAUUCUUACUGUAUUUAUCUCUUAAACAUUG
rnacentral:lncRNA from 1 species